GGGUUGUGAGGUUAAGCGACUAAGCGUACACGGUGGAUGCCCUGGCAGUCAGAGGCGAUGAAGGACGUGCUAAUCUGCGAUAAGCGUCGGUAAGGUGAUAUGAACCGUUAUAACCGGCGAUUUCCGAAUGGGGAAACCCAGUGUGUUUCGACACACUAUCAUUAACUGAAUCCAUAGGUUAAUGAGGCGAACCGGGGAACUGAAACAUCUAAGUACCCCGAGGAAAAGAAAUCAACCGAGAUUCCCCCAGUAGCGGCGAGCGAACGGGGAGGAGCCCAGAGCCUGAAUCAGUGUGUGUGUUAGUGGAAGCGUCUGGAAAGGCGCGCGAUACAGGGUGACAGCCCCGUACACAAAAAUGCACAUGCUGUGAGCUCGAUGAGUAGGGCGGGACACGUGGUAUCCUGUCUGAAUAUGGGGGGACCAUCCUCCAAGGCUAAAUACUCCUGACUGACCGAUAGUGAACCAGUACCGUGAGGGAAAGGCGAAAAGAACCCCGGCGAGGGGAGUGAAAAAGAACCUGAAACCGUGUACGUACAAGCAGUGGGAGCACGCUUAGGCGUGUGACUGCGUACCUUUUGUAUAAUGGGUCAGCGACUUAUAUUCUGUAGCAAGGUUAACCGAAUAGGGGAGCCGAAGGGAAACCGAGUCUUAACUGGGCGUUAAGUUGCAGGGUAUAGACCCGAAACCCGGUGAUCUAGCCAUGGGCAGGUUGAAGGUUGGGUAACACUAACUGGAGGACCGAACCGACUAAUGUUGAAAAAUUAGCGGAUGACUUGUGGCUGGGGGUGAAAGGCCAAUCAAACCGGGAGAUAGCUGGUUCUCCCCGAAAGCUAUUUAGGUAGCGCCUCGUGAAUUCAUCUCCGGGGGUAGAGCACUGUUUCGGCAAGGGGGUCAUCCCGACUUACCAACCCGAUGCAAACUGCGAAUACCGGAGAAUGUUAUCACGGGAGACACACGGCGGGUGCUAACGUCCGUCGUGAAGAGGGAAACAACCCAGACCGCCAGCUAAGGUCCCAAAGUCAUGGUUAAGUGGGAAACGAUGUGGGAAGGCCCAGACAGCCAGGAUGUUGGCUUAGAAGCAGCCAUCAUUUAAAGAAAGCGUAAUAGCUCACUGGUCGAGUCGGCCUGCGCGGAAGAUGUAACGGGGCUAAACCAUGCACCGAAGCUGCGGCAGCGACGCUUAUACGUUGUUGGGUAGGGGAGCGUUCUGUAAGCCUGUGAAGGUGUGCUGUGAGGCAUGCUGGAGGUAUCAGAAGUGCGAAUGCUGACAUAAGUAACGAUAAAGCGGGUGAAAAGCCCGCUCGCCGGAAGACCAAGGGUUCCUGUCCAACGUUAAUCGGGGCAGGGUGAGUCGACCCCUAAGGCGAGGCCGAAAGGCGUAGUCGAUGGGAAACAGGUUAAUAUUCCUGUACUUGGUGUUACUGCGAAGGGGGGACGGAGAAGGCUAUGUUGGCCAGGCGACGGUUGUCCCGGUUUAAGCGUGUAGGCUGGUUUUCCAGGCAAAUCCGGAAAAUCAAGGCUGAGGCGUGAUGACGAGGCACUACGGUGCUGAAGCAACAAAUGCCCUGCUUCCAGGAAAAGCCUCUAAGCAUCAGGUAACAUCAAAUCGUACCCCAAACCGACACAGGUGGUCAGGUAGAGAAUACCAAGGCGCUUGAGAGAACUCGGGUGAAGGAACUAGGCAAAAUGGUGCCGUAACUUCGGGAGAAGGCACGCUGAUAUGUAGGUGAAGCGACUUGCUCGUGGAGCUGAAAUCAGUCGAAGAUACCAGCUGGCUGCAACUGUUUAUUAAAAACACAGCACUGUGCAAACACGAAAGUGGACGUAUACGGUGUGACGCCUGCCCGGUGCCGGAAGGUUAAUUGAUGGGGUCAGCGCAAGCGAAGCUCUUGAUCGAAGCCCCGGUAAACGGCGGCCGUAACUAUAACGGUCCUAAGGUAGCGAAAUUCCUUGUCGGGUAAGUUCCGACCUGCACGAAUGGCGUAAUGAUGGCCAGGCUGUCUCCACCCGAGACUCAGUGAAAUUGAACUCGCUGUGAAGAUGCAGUGUACCCGCGGCAAGACGGAAAGACCCCGUGAACCUUUACUAUAGCUUGACACUGAACAUUGAGCCUUGAUGUGUAGGAUAGGUGGGAGGCUUUGAAGUGUGGACGCCAGUCUGCAUGGAGCCGACCUUGAAAUACCACCCUUUAAUGUUUGAUGUUCUAACGUUGACCCGUAAUCCGGGUUGCGGACAGUGUCUGGUGGGUAGUUUGACUGGGGCGGUCUCCUCCUAAAGAGUAACGGAGGAGCACGAAGGUUGGCUAAUCCUGGUCGGACAUCAGGAGGUUAGUGCAAUGGCAUAAGCCAGCUUGACUGCGAGCGUGACGGCGCGAGCAGGUGCGAAAGCAGGUCAUAGUGAUCCGGUGGUUCUGAAUGGAAGGGCCAUCGCUCAACGGAUAAAAGGUACUCCGGGGAUAACAGGCUGAUACCGCCCAAGAGUUCAUAUCGACGGCGGUGUUUGGCACCUCGAUGUCGGCUCAUCACAUCCUGGGGCUGAAGUAGGUCCCAAGGGUAUGGCUGUUCGCCAUUUAAAGUGGUACGCGAGCUGGGUUUAGAACGUCGUGAGACAGUUCGGUCCCUAUCUGCCGUGGGCGCUGGAGAACUGAGGGGGGCUGCUCCUAGUACGAGAGGACCGGAGUGGACGCAUCACUGGUGUUCGGGUUGUCAUGCCAAUGGCACUGCCCGGUAGCUAAAUGCGGAAGAGAUAAGUGCUGAAAGCAUCUAAGCACGAAACUUGCCCCGAGAUGAGUUCUCCCUGACUCCUUGAGAGUCCUGAAGGAACGUUGAAGACGACGACGUUGAUAGGCCGGGUGUGUAAGCGCAGCGAUGCGUUGAGCUAACCGGUACUAAUGAACCGUGAGGCUUAACCUUACAACGCCGAAGCUGUU
rnacentral:rRNA from 1 species